rnacentral:rRNA from 1 species
UACGAAGGGGGCUAGCGUUGCUCGGAAUCACUGGGCGUAAAGCGCACGUAGGCGGCUUCUUAAGUCAGGGGUGAAAUCCUGGAGCUCAACUCCAGAACUGCCUUUGAUACUGAGAAGCUUGAGUCCGGGAGAGGUGAGUGGAACUGCGAGUGUAGAGGUGAAAAUUCGUAGAUAUUCGCAAGAACACCAGUGGCGAAGGCGGCUCACUGGCCCGGUACUGACGCUGAGGUGCGAAAGCGUGGGGAGCAAACAGGG